AAAUUGAAGAGUUUGAUCAUGGCUCAGAUUGAACGCUGGCGGCAGGCCUAACACAUGCAAGUCGAGCGGUAGCACAGAGAGCUUGCUCUCGGGUGACGAGCGGCGGACGGGUGAGUAAUGUCUGGGAAACUGCCUGAUGGAGGGGGAUAACUACUGGAAACGGUAGCUAAUACCGCAUAAUGUCGCAAGACCAAAGUGGGGGACCUUCGGGCCUCAUGCCAUCAGAUGUGCCCAGAUGGGAUUAGCUAGUAGGUGGGGUAACGGCUCACCUAGGCGACGAUCCCUAGCUGGUCUGAGAGGAUGACCAGCCACACUGGAACUGAGACACGGUCCAGACUCCUACGGGAGGCAGCAGUGGGGAAUAUUGCACAAUGGGCGCAAGCCUGAUGCAGCCAUGCCGCGUGUGUGAAGAAGGCCUUCGGGUUGUAAAGCACUUUCAGCGGGGAGGAAGGCGAUAAGGUUAAUAACCUUGUCGAUUGACGUUACCCGCAGAAGAAGCACCGGCUAACUCCGUGCCAGCAGCCGCGGUAAUACGGAGGGUGCAAGCGUUAAUCGGAAUUACUGGGCGUAAAGCGCACGCAGGCGGUCUGUCAAGUCGGAUGUGAAAUCCCCGGGCUCAACCUGGGAACUGCAUUCGAAACUGGCAGGCUAGAGUCUUGUAGAGGGGGGUAGAAUUCCAGGUGUAGCGGUGAAAUGCGUAGAGAUCUGGAGGAAUACCGGUGGCGAAGGCGGCCCCCUGGACAAAGACUGACGCUCAGGUGCGAAAGCGUGGGGAGCAAACAGGAUUAGAUACCCUGGUAGUCCACGCUGUAAACGAUGUCGAUUUGGAGGUUGUGCCCUUGAGGCGUGGCUUCCGGAGCUAACGCGUUAAAUCGACCGCCUGGGGAGUACGGCCGCAAGGUUAAAACUCAAAUGAAUUGACGGGGGCCCGCACAAGCGGUGGAGCAUGUGGUUUAAUUCGAUGCAACGCGAAGAACCUUACCUG
rnacentral:rRNA from 1 species